GCCGAUGCAUUUUUUUAUAUAGUGCACUCAUUUAGUCUAUUUUAUAGACAUCUGGUUAAUAUAACACCAUUUACGAUUUGAGCGGCAUUUGUUUAUGCAUCAUGAAGUGCGAAUAUUACUUUCUAUACACACAGGUUUGAACAAGGUUAAUUUGUGCUACAUGACUCAUUUUCGCAUAUCAUGCAAGCAUGUGAUCAUAGAACAUGCGACUAAGUAUGGUGUCUUUUGACGAGCACCUAUUGUUUUGCAAUAUUUUUUAUAUGCACUUUAUUUGUUCAUCAUUUUUUAUGUUGAUUUUCCCCGAGUCAUACCUUGCCGUGAUUCCAUUGAGAACAAAUUCUUCACUCUACAUAAGGGAAUAAAUACCUUGAUUUGUGUCACGUCAUUGAUACAGAAUGAAUAUAUUUAAAUGCGUAAAUGCAUACAAUAAACAGGAGAUCAAACAUUGCAGGUACAUUAUUUCCAGAACUCUUACAUUUACAUAAAAGAUCUGUUAAUUACAUCUCCGAAGAAAAACCCCUGAUUAAGAAUUCCAACAUAGCUAUUACAUAAGAUUGCAACACAUUCCUAUUACAACAUGCUACAAAAAAAAGAAAUUCCUCCUCGCGAUCGUCGACGCCGGCAUGCUCGGGGGAGCCUUGGACUUUGUUGAUAUUAUCAUAUGCGAUGACUUUCAUUUAUAUUUGCUUUCAUUUGACUCGUACUGGUAUUGGCAGUACGUGUGUGCAUGCUUGAAUGACUUCACUUACUUUUCCUUGUUGACUAACCAAUAUAUAGACUUUGAUUUAUUUUCUUUACUUUGUUUGAGAAAGUCAUCUUAAUGGUUAACCAAUCUGUUAAAUGAGUCUUCAAACAUCAUGAUGCAUGCGUAUGGGACAUAUAGUCAUGCACGUGUUCUGUGCAAUGCAACUACUUUAGUACUAACAAUUGUAGUACUCUUUGUUUUAUGAGUAGAUGACAUCUAUGCUUUCUUACUAUUUGCAAGCCGUAUGGGGGAUGCAUGAUCUAACUUUCAUCUUAUGCGAAGAUAAGCUAGAUGCGACCUUUUCGAGCAUACACAUAUAUGGAGCAGAUAACAGAUAUUUAAUUUGUUUUGGUGGCAUAUGCAAGUGCACUACAAUAUUUCGAGUGCGAUCAAACUCAGAUUAUGACUCUGGUCAUCUUUUAGUUUUUUUAAUGUAUGUCCAUAUGAAGGGACCAUACAAUUUAUUUUGGUUGGGUGGAUGUACACCAAUUCACCUAGAAUUAGCAGGACGUGUCCAUUUUACUUUGCAUGCGCCUACACUAGAUUCGCCAAUAUCUAGUUAUUUUGUCGAUGAUGCCGGCUAGCAUUAUUUGGGGCCGAUGCAUUUUUUUAUAUAGUGCACUCAUUUAGUCUAUUUUAUAGACAUCUGGUUAAUAUAACACCAUCUACGAUUUGAGCGGCAUUUGUUUAUGCAUCAUGAAGUGCGAAUAUUACUUUCUAUACACACAGGUUUGAACAAGAUUAAUUUGUGCUACAUGACUCAUUUUCGCAUAUCAUGCACGCAUGUGAUCAUAGAACAUGCGACUAAGUAUGGUGUCUUUUGACGAGCACCUAUUGUUUUGCAAUAUUUUUUAUAUGCAUUUUAUUUGUUCAUCAUUUUUUAUGUUGAUUUUCCCCGAGUCAUACCUUGCCGUGAUUCCAUUGAGAACAAAUUCUUCACUCUACAUAAGGGAAUAAAUACCUUGAUUUGUGUCACGUCAUUGAUACAGAAUGAAUAUAUUUAAAUGCGUAAAUGCAUACAAUAAAAAGGAGAUCAAACAUUGCAGGUACAUUAUUUCCAGAACUCUUACAUUUACAUAAAAGAUCUGUUAAUUACAUCUCCGAAGAGAAAACCCCUGAUUAAGAAUUCCAACAUAGCUAUUACAUAAGAUUGCAACACAUUCCUAUUACAACAUGCUACAAAAAAAAGAAA